GACGAACGCUGGCGGCGUGCUUAACACAUGCAAGUCGAACGGAAAGGCCCUGCUUGCAGGGUACUCGAGUGGCGAACGGGUGAGUAACACGUGGGUGAUCUGCCCUGCACUUCGGGAUAAGCCUGGGAAACUGGGUCUAAUACCGGAUAGGAGCCAUUUUUAGUGUGAUGGUUGGAAGUUUUUUCGGUGUAGGAUUAGCUCGCGGCCUAGCAGCUUGUUGGUGGGGUAAUGGCCUACCAAGGCGGCGACGGGUAGCCGGCCUGAGAGGGUGGACGGCCACAUUGGGACUGAGAUACGGCCCAGACUCCUACGGGAGGCAGCAGUGGGGAAUAUUGCACAAUGGGCGCAAGCCUGAUGCAGCGACGCCGCGUGGGGGAUGACGGCCUUCGGGUUGGAAACUCCUUUCGCUAGGGACGAAGCUUUUUGUGACGGUACCUAGAUAAGAAGCACCGGCUAACUACGUG
rnacentral:rRNA from 1 species